GUCGGAAGUCUCUUGCUCCCAAUAUCCUGCUAAAGAUGGAGGAGGCGGCCCACUGCCUGGGCGAGGGGGGACGAUUUCCGAGCGAUGCCGGGCUUUUCAUGCAGACGAUCCCAGCUUCGGUCCUCGGCAGGUCAAGCUGAGAGAGGGCCCAGCGGCAGAGGAUGUGGGAGAAAAAGCCCAGGGAGUCCUAGUCCAGCAUCUAGGCCAGCCUAGAGCUGUGCCAGAAAACCAUCUGGGGGCUGGGAACAGGUCGGAUCCCAUGGGCUUGGCUCCCUGGACUCCAGUCCCCUUUGCAGUGCCCCAGAGCCCACGUUCCUGGUGAGCACUCCCAGCGUCCGGGGGCGCUCGCCAGGAAUCCAGCCCCAUGCGCUGCGCAAGCACAGGCCCUCCUCCGCAAGCCCCAUGGUCACCGCCACCACCAGGAGUGCGAGCAAGAGGGCAGGUGGGACUGGCACCCGGUGCACCUGCUUGCAGCUCCCCUCCUUUGCACCUGCAAAAGUUUCCACAGGCUCAGCUCACUGUGCAGGACAGGUUGCGCACGGGAGCAAGCCCUGGAUUCUGGAGGGACGGCUUCUGAUGGGGUUUGUCCCAACCUGGACCAGCCUCUCCCAACCUGACACCCUCCGGGUAUUUUGGAGAACAACUUCUAGCAGCUGGAGUCACAUGGGGAUGUGGUUCUGUAGUCAAAGGCCCCGGGAGAGAGGAUGCCGGGUUCCAAACAUGGGCCAGUUGGGUGGAAACCUGCUUCCUCGGCCUCCAGGAAAUCAGACCAUGGCUAUGUCCUGCAGGCACCAGGCAAGGCUCCGUUCGAAGGGCCAUGAACGGACCGCCCCAUUUGUUGAAGACAUCCUUGGUGUGCAAGACAGUCCAGUCCAAGCCUAGUAUGAAAAUUAGAACCCUCCAAAGAAAGUUGCCACCAGGAGCAGCCGACUGGCAGUCACUCAGCCAGCACAAUUUGUGCUGCCUGUCUGUUUAAAUUAUAAUUAUUUCUAAGCUUGUGGGUAUGGGGGGAUUUGCAUAUACAAAUAUUAUGCAGAUGUGAUUCUUCUUUAGGUGAUGUACAAGAGGCCACCCUGAAAACAAGAGGGAAUGUUUAUUUUCUUCAUCUAUUUUCAAGAUUUCUAUGCUAUUGUAUACAGCAGUAUGAAGAUUUCAGAGCAGUGAAUGAUAAAAGAUAAACCAGGAAAACAACAUAUUAAAGAGAGAUUCAGGAUCUCCCUAUCUGAUGUACCCUGUGACACCCCAAAUCCUAUAAAACAUAAGAAGCAACAGGAUGACUUGCCAUUCCAGCAUUAUUUUUUUUAAUCCCCAGCAGGUUUCCCAAGAAUUUCGCUUUGGUAGAAUCUGUCUUUUGCCUGUUGUUGCCUUACGGACCCUAAGAAAGAGGUGAACCUGAAGGAUGGGUUCCCCCCACCCCUCCUGUGGAAGGACUGGAAUUGGUGGCACCUUCCGAACCUUCCCUACUUUUCAGCAGGUGGAAGGACCCAAGCCAAACUGCUCCACUCCCAGGCUUCCUGAAAGGUGCGUCAUUCGACAUCUGAAUGGUGGCCAUGGACCUCUGUGGCAUCCAACAGUCUCGUCGAAAUGUGCAUCAUGCAUCAGUGCUGCAUGUCCCCCUGACAGCAGAGAGACCCAAAUUCCUUUAUGAGCAUUUAAUGCUGUCGGGGUAGCCGUUCCCCUCUUCAUUUUAUGCUGCCUGUGUUAUUGCUCUGGCCUCCCCACAGUGCCAUAGAGAGCCUGAGCGCCAAAUUAAUGUGCGUUUCUUUUCCCAGCAUCAUUAGGAAAAUGACUUGUAAACAGAGAUCCCCAUUCUGCAUUGUUGAGUUAGGGUGCAUUGGCUUUUUCCCCUCUGUAAAUGUUUGGUGAGGGCUGCCUGCAGCAGCCCCUCUUGCGAGAACCGAAUAAAGAACUCUGUGGAUGGUGCACAUUUUCCCUUUGGAUCUGUUCUGAAAGGGGGAAGGAAAGAAAGACGCACAAAAUCUGUCCCUUUAUUCCCACUGAGUUUUCUAUUUCCCUGCCUCAGGUUCUAAGAGAAUGCCACACAGCAGCUGGGUUAGGGCAACAUGACAAACCUUGAUGGGUUUUUAAGUCAUUGUUGGUCUGUUGUGUCUUCUGAACCCAAGCAUGGGAUCUCUCCGUGGUACAUUUGGCCUUUCGAAUCCACAGUAAGGAGCAACAGUUUGUUCUAUGGUUUCUCCAUACCACCGUGGCUUCUCAUAUUGUCUGAACCCAGAAUCACGGUUUCCACGGUCCUAGUCUGCAACUGCCACAGAGUCCUCUGGAAAGGAGGAGGCGCCAGUGUCAAGAAAAAGGAAGUUGUGAUACCGGAAAUGCACACGAGAUUGCCAUGGGGCUCGUUGUGAAGCAAGAAGUGCUACGAACCUGCCAGACGAUGCAGAUAAGAGCAUCCGAGAUGGUGUAAUAGAGCCAUCCUAUGGCCCCUGAACAGUGUCGUGGAGGGCCAAGGAUCCUCGGAUUCCUGGGUCCAAGGUCGGAAAGGAGGCCUGGCCUCACUGCUGUGGCCCCGCAUCCAGAGCGCAGUCCCUGCCUCAGCAGGCCCAGGCAGAACUGUGCCAGGACGGGCGUUUUUCUUUCCAAACAUGGACAGGUUCCUUCCUAUAGAGAAAUAUGCAUUUGUGCAAAUCCCCCACAAGACUAAAUACAUUUUAAGAAGAAGUCCACGAGUGUGCUGAACAUCCAUAACGUGGCCACAGUUGCUCAAGUGCAGAAUCUAGAAGGCAGAUUCAAAGAAAUCCAGACUCCCUGGAAUCCGUUGCCGAUUUCUACAAUAGCCCUAUAUUGUUGUGAGCCUGGGGUUUGAAGAGGAGAGAGUUAAUGGGCCAGAAGGACUGCAUGAAAUGUAUUGAAUAGCCAGUGGCAAACAGACACACCUGCUAUUACUCCAAUUGCAGGUAAAGGGCACAGGUGGGGCCAGGAAACCCUACAGAGCAGAGGACUGUUUGUUCUCCCCCUAGCCCCCGGUCAUGGCCGAUGUCAGCAAGAAGAACGGGAGAGGAGGCUGAGCUCUGGAAAGCAUCUUCUGGGAGAGCCUUUCUUCUGAGGGUUCAGGAGUGUUGAUCUGGAUGGACCAUUGGCCCGAUGGCUCGUCUUGAGUUCCUCAGAUCCUUAGGGGGGUCAGGAUCAGGGCCCUAGUCCAGGCAAGUGUCCUCAGGACCGAGAACUCCUUUGCAGGCACUUGCGGGGGCAAUCCUCUGAUGCAGCUGGGUCCCUGGAAGCCAGCUUAAAAGGCCUCCCUGGGCCACUGCUCCCGCUUGCCACCGCUUGUUCCAGUCUGUUCCUGCUUUGCCCCAGCGCACUCUUGCCGAUCCUUGUGGCCUCUUCUCCCCCUGGGCACCUUUAUGCAACUCCUCCCCCGACUCUUGACCGCUGGUGUGUCUCUGGACAGUGCUUUCCCCCUGGGACAAUAUCAGAUGGCCUGUUGCUUCAUCUCCAGCCCGGGGCCAUUGACGUGCUGCCAGCCUCUAGCCUUGCUAAGCUAUGGAGCUCAGCAUCCUGCCUGCCCCUGUCAGCCACCCACGCCCUGGUUCUCCCGGGGGGGGUUAAGCUCUACGCCCCCACCUAUUCUCUGCCUGCUUGUCUGCAACAAACUCAGACAUUACCAGAAAUACCCUAAGUCUCCCAUGAUCUCCCUUCCAAAGGGAAAUGAUCCCAGGAAAACACCACAUUCCAGGAAAGUACACAAUGCGUAACAAGACUUUCACAGCCAUAAGGAAUAGUAACUUUUUAAAAAAUCUGGACAUUAAGCAAAGUGCCAAUUAAGUGCCAACUGGAGGAAAGGGUUUGACGCGGGAUCAGGCUUGACAGUCGCAGACGCCUUUCCAGCCUUGUGCUGUGCUUUCUCACGGAGGGCAUUCCAGUUGUCCCCAAAGCGCAAGCCAAGCUGACAAGUAAAUGAAUAUACAAAGGAGAGGUCCUGAACUCUGGCCUUUCUCGGCUCUGCAGCGCUCCGCCUCUGGACUGUCCAGCUUGAAGUCGGCGUGUGGCCGGCAUGUUUGCUGAGCUCCUGGCAGCUUCCAGCUUGCUGCCAGUUACAGAGAAAGCAGUUGAUGUUAGGGGGUGGGGAGGCUGCCCCCCACCCCUCCCCAGUUUGGGGUUUCUUUACGGGCACAACAUGGCGGCAGCAGAGAGGGAACUCUGUUGAAAGCUGUUCGUUAAAUCGUACUGCUAAAAAAAUGAAUAGAAAAGUAUAGAAAAUAAAUAAUCUCCCGCAUAGUGUUUUUGAGACUUAAUGGCGGCAGGCAAGAAAAAUAUCUUUGCCACUGCCUUGAUACUGUCUUUUAAAAACGAUCUAUGCCAAAACCCAUUAGACUCAGUAGGAAUAGGCUGUAAUUGCCGUAUGUAUGUAUGUAUGUAUGUAUGCAGUGUACCUAUCUAUCUAUCUAUCUAAAUUUCUCCCUAUCUAUAAUUUAUAUUCUGCCUCUCUAUAUUAAAAGAUAGGCAGCUUACAACAUUUAAGAACAAUAAUCCAAUGAAAUAUAUAAUUUAGAAUAGGAGAAGCAUUAAAAAACCUUAAAAGCAUCCGUAGAACAAAACAGAGCAUUUAGGUUUAAAAAACACGUUUAUGAAGGACUGGUUCUUAAUCAAAUGUGAAUAAAAGCAACAGCACAAAACCAUCAGAACAGAAGUGUGAUCAUGAGCCACCUACAAACAGGCAAUGAACCAAUGAGUUUUCCUCUCUAGCUGUAUCCUUUAUGACGCUCCGGUUCUCUAUAAAUUGGGGAAAUUUAUAAAUUUAACAAAAGCUGCCUGUGAAUGAGCAUCGAAAUGGCCUACUCUCUCUCUCUCUCUCUCUCUCUC